CCCUCUGUGACGUACUUCCUAGGCUGCAGCACCUAAACCAACUGAUUUCCUCAGGGAGACCAACAUCUCAUUCAAACCACGGCAGCCUGCAAAAGCUAGGCUUCGUUCUUAUGUGUGUGUCCAGGAUCUUUCGUGGGCCCAAAGAGCUGGAGCGGGUCUUUACUGACUUACCGCUGGUAUUUGCCACAGAAGCAGAAGCGAAGACCUCACAUCAUGAUGCUGGCUUCUGCUGCAUGUAAAGGCUAUGCUGUGGUGCUGUGAUAUGAGUUAUAUGUGCCAUAGCAUGCAGAGAAAGAAUAUUUGAUCAAGGACCAAGACAUCUUACAGAAGAAAGGGUUUACAGUUCCAGAGUGAUGAGCAUUCAUGGUGACAGAGUUGAAGCAUAAAGCAUGACAGCAGGUGACAGGCAAGACUACACAAGGAGGAAACUGAGAGUUCACACUUGACAAAGCAGAGAAUGGGAAUUGGAGGUCCCUUCAAGCCCACUGGUAAGCAGUGCUGAGUGCUGUUCGUGACUCUGGGUUCAGUGGAGGCUAGGUGACAGGAGCCCUCUUGGGAUAGUUGCAGGGGCUGUCUGAAAAUCCUCAGGAUGUUUCCAGGCUGUUUAUAUGAUCAUAGAGUCAAUGUUUAUGGAUGGGUGUAAACUGAAGACCAGAAGCUGACCUUUGGAGACAUCUAGUCCAGCAGAGCAGCUGCUGCAUUCUCAGUAUCUUCAACGUGAGACAACCAUGUCGGAAAACCCAACCCAUAUCAGUUUCAGGUUCUGAUGUCGCCAUCUGGCCUAAGGCCCCUGCAUGCACUGGUGCUACUGCGUAUGAACUCACAUAAGCGCACGCAAACACAUAAAAACAGGAUAAAGUUUCACAUCGAAACAUUCGCACCACAGCAUGGACGCUUCUCUCUGCACUUGGACAUAUUUUCAGUGGAAUGAGAAUACAGACAAAAAGAGGAUUUCACAAAUAGGAUUUUCAGUCUCCAAAGAGAUUUGAGGCAAUAGGCACCUGUAAUGAAGUUCUGACAAUAAAAGAAGUUGGGCAUCUCAUUUCCAUCUUGCAUGCCAAAUCUUUCAUCCUCUCCUGGAAGAUGACCCCAACACAUCAAGCGCAAGAGAAUGAAGACACAGAACAUUCCACUGCAGUCAUGUCUGGUGAGGCUUUCUCCCCCAACAACAAAAAGAGUUUGUACAGAAUGCAAUGCCAUAAACAUGAAUCAUGUCGCCCUUACUGCGGACUCAGAGAGACGAGGCCUCCUGGACCACUAGAUCACUGUCAUCCCCUGGGAGAGUAAAUAACAGGGAAUCUACGCACAACCCAGAGCUUACCUUCCUGCAGCCAGCCCAGGGCCAUCACCCUCCGGUCUGACAGAAUAGCACAGAUAGGAGAAGGUACAGGAACCAUAGGACAUGACUUCCAAGGCCAGAGAUAAUUGAAUUACCUGGUUGUCAGCCGUGAUGAAUAUGAGCCACGAAGGCGGUAUAAAUGUCCUAUUUGUUCCAUGUCCCCGGUAGCACCUCCAGCUUUUUGUUUCUAUGUUGGGACUGAGUGACCUCUACUCCACAGUAUGGCCAUUUCCAGCCCCUGGGGACCUCUAAGGCACCCCUGGGAGGCAAUUGUGAUAUCAGCCAUGAAUUCCGUACCAGCGUGACAAAAUGUUCUACUAUGGGAUUGUGUGAGUCAUGUAAACUUCCUUAAUUCCCCUUAAGUUAAAGAUGAUAUUUGCCAAUAACCUAUGUAUUGUUUUCUUUCCUUCAUCUUUGUUGGCCAGGCAAAUCUCACCUGCUUUCCCUUGGCAUUUUAAAUCUACCUUCUCUGAGCCUGAUCACAGCAUCCAUUCGGGUACCAUCCUUGUCCCCCCUUCACAUGGCGAAACUGGUAGCGGAGAGAAGCUGCAGUCAACACAAACUCACACAGACAGUGCACCCCAAGAAGAGGGCCAGGGCUCCAGGAAAGAGAGAUGUGUCGCUCUGCCAUCAUACCUACCAUGAGCAAUUGGAUGCCAGGCACUCACAUUUCCAAACCUAAGCAAGCAGCAGAGACGAGUCAGAUGCUCCUGUCAAUGCCUGCCUGUGGAUGCCAUCACCUCCGUCGGCCACGAGUUCACGGGAAGCAGAUCCCUGAUCAUCUCACACCUCACCACGGUCGUCUAGGCUAGAUGAAAGAGCUCUUCUGCCUUGAAAGAUCUCCCGAGUGUGUGUCAGCCACCCGUGAGUCCAAAGCCUUCACAGUACUUACCAACAGGUACUCGGCAAAGAUUCUGCCUGCAGCCCGAAACUGAGCAAGCUCUCUCUUAGUCUAUGCCUGUAUCACAACCUAAUCAUCCCAGCGACGACCACCUCCCACUCCCCUCGCAGAGUGCCCACUCGCUUAAAACGCACUGGCUGUAAUGUUUAUUACCCAAUGAGGACACCCGUGUUAUUGAUAGCAGCAAUAAGGAUGCCAUCAAACAUGAAUGCUCACAUUCAGCAAGGGGCACUCUCAAGCACAAUACAGCUAAAGCAAGGAGGGGAUAUAGACGUAAAGGCACUUAUCACUGAUGUAGAAUGGAAAUGGCAAAGCUUGAAGCAGACCCAUUCCAAAGAGAAGGCAGACUCACUUCUCUGGAAACGGCCUCAACUUUUCGAUUAUUAUUAGGAAUGUUUUGAAUUUUUAUGUUAAUGGCAGAGAGAAAGUAGAACAAAGAAGAAACGGGCCUGUCAUCUAAGCUGAGACGAUAAUCAAUAAUGAAAACGCAGGAAUGGCGCGGCCUCGUCGUCUAUGCACAUAUAUUUUAUGGGGUUAGGUUCACACUCUCCUGAGACUGUUGAAGUCUGUGUUUGGACCCCAACUCUCAAGAUCCAGUUCCCCCCAUUUCAUUAAUAUUUCUUUGUAAUCGUAGCCUAAUACUGAUCUCUGAUAUUUUGCCUAAUUGUUCACCUCUUUCGGGCAUUUUAUAACCUCCUUUUUGUCCCCCCUCUUCCUGACUGUAGGUCGUGCUUAAAUAAACCAAUUCGUACAAGUAGGAAGAGAACUCUCAACUGAACAGGAAGGAUGGCAGAGAGGAAACUUGGGACCCCUUCCCCCACGCC
rnacentral:lncRNA from 1 species